rnacentral:rRNA from 1 species
UACGAAGGGGGCUAGCGUUGCUCGGAAUUACUGGGCGUAAAGCGCACGUAGGCGGCUUUCUAAGUCGGGGGUGAAAUCCUGGAGCUCAACUCCAGAACUGCCUUCGAUACUGGAGAGCUCGAGUCCGGGAGAGGUGAGUGGAACUGCGAGUGUAGAGGUGAAAUUCGUAGAUAUUCGCAAGAACACCAGUGGCGAAGGCGGCUCACUGGCCCGGUACUGACGCUGAGGUGCGAAAGCCAGGGGAGCAAACGGG